AGCAGCCGCGGUAAUUCCAGCUCCAAUAGCGUAUAUUAAAGUUGUUGCAGUUAAAAAGCUCGUAGUUGAAUUUCGGGGUCAGCAAGUUGGUCGUGCCACUGGUAUGUACUGGCUUUGCUGAUUCCUCCUUCUUGUAGAACCGUAAUGCCAUUUAGUUGGUGUUGCGGGGAAACAGGACUGUUACUUUGAAAAAAUUAGAGUGUUUAAAGCAGGCUAACGCCUGAAUACAUUAGCAUGGAAUAAUGAAAUAGGACGAGCGAUCCUAUUUUGUUGGUUUCUAGGAUUGACGUAAUGAUUAAUAGGGAUAGUUGGGGGCAUUAGUAUUCAAUUGUCAGAGGUGAAAUUCUUGGAUUUAUUGAAGACUGACUACUGCGAAAGCAUUUGCCAAGGAUGUUUUCAUUAAUCAAGAACGAAAGUUAGGGGAUCGAAGACGAUCAGAUACCGUCGUAGUCUUAACCAUAAACUAUGCCGACUAGGGAUCGGAUGAUGUUAAUUUUUAAUGA
rnacentral:rRNA from 1 species